GGCGCGCAAAUUACCCAAUCCCGACUCGGGGAGGUAGUGACAAGAAAUAACGAUACGAGACCUUUAUAGGUCUCGUAAUCGGAAUGAGAACACUUUAAAUCCGCUAACGAGUACCAAUUGGAGGGCAAGUCUGGUGCCAGCAGCCGCGGUAAUUCCAGCUCCAAUAGCGUAUAUUAAAGUUGUUGCAGUUAAAAAGCUCGUAGUUGGAUCACAGUGUGACAGUGCCGGUUCAUCUCAGGAUCGAUACUGGCAUUUGUUAACCUUUUUCGUGGUAGAACUUGGUAUUCUUUAUUGAGUGCCUCGUUUCAAUCGCGACGUUUACUUUGAACAAAUUGGAGUGCUUCAAGCAGGCUGUUCGCCUGAACAUUUAUGCAUGGAAUAAUGAAAUAAGACCUGGUUCUAUUUUCGUUGGUUUGGUAUGACCAGGAAAUGAUUGAGAGGGACAUACGGGGACAUUCGUAUUGCGGCGGGAGAGGUGAAAUUCUAAGAUCGCCGCAAGACGCACUAAUGCGAUGGCAACUGUCAAGCGUGUUUCCAUCAAUCAAGAGCGAAAGUCAGAGGUUCGAAGACGAUCAGAUACCGACCUAGUUCUGACUGUAAACCAUGUCGGCUGGCGAUCUGCUGAUUAACGAUCAAACAGACCAGUGGGCAGCCCUCGGGAAACCAAAGCUUUUGGAUUCCGGGGGAAGUAUGGUUGCAAAGCUGAAACUUAAAGGAAUUGACGGAAGGGCACCACCAGGAGUGGAGCCUGCGGCUUAAUUUGACUCAACACGUGGAAUCUCACCAGGUCCGGACAUAGUAAGGAUUGACAGAUUGAGAGCUCUUUCUCGAUUUUAUGGAUGGUGGUGCAUGGCCGUUCUUAGUUGGUGGAGCGAUUUGUCAGGUUAAUUCCGAUAACGAACGAGACUCUAGCCUGCAAAAUAGUAACCUCCCACGAGUGGGAGGGAUACUUCUUUGAGGGACAAUCGGCUUCUAGCCGAACGAGAAAGAGCAAUAACAGGUCUGUGAUGCCCUUAGAUGUUCUGGGCCGCACGCGCGCUACACUGAAGGAUAUAACGGGUGUCUCACUUUGCUCGGAAGAGUCGAGUAACCCUGUAACGUCCUUCGUGCCAGGGAUCGGGGAUUGCAAUUAUUUUCCGUGAACUAGGAAUUCCCAGUAAGCGCGAGUCAUCAGCUCGCGUUGAUUACGUCCCUGCCCUUUGUACACACCGCCCGUCGCUACUACCGAUCGGAUUGGUUGAUGAGGCGUUUGGACCGUGGAUCUUACCGGGAUUUUAUCCUGGUUUGUUCCGCGGAAAGAUCGCCGAAUCUACUUGUCUAGAGGAAGUAAAAGUCGUAACAAGGUUUCC
rnacentral:rRNA from 1 species